rnacentral:tRNA from 1 species
GCGCCUGUGGCGGAAUUGGUAGACGCGCUAGACUUAGGAUCUAGUGUCUCAGACGUGUAGGUUCGAGUCCUAUCAGGCGUA